rnacentral:rRNA from 1 species
AUUGAACGCUGGCGGCGUGCCUAACACAUGCAAGUCGAACGAGGUGCUUUUGUAGCAAUACGAGAGUAUCCUAGUGGCGAACGGGUGAGUAACGCGUUGGUGACCUACCCCAAAGUGUGGGAUAACAGUCCGAAAGGAUUGCUAAUACCGCAUGUGGUCUUCGGAUUUAGAAACUGAUGACUAAAGGAGCAAUUCGCUUUGGGAGGGACCUGCGUCCCAUCAGCUAGUUGGUGAGGUAAUGGCUCACCAAGGCGACGACGGGUAGGGGACCUGAGAGGGUGACCCCCCACAAUGGAACUGAAACACGGUCCAUACACCUACGGGUGGCAGCAGUAGGGAAUACUGCUCAAUGGGCGAAAGCCUGAAGCAGCAACGCCGCGUGUGCGAUGAAGGCCUUCGGGUCGUAAAGCACUUUUCUGGGAGAUGAGAAAGGACAGUAUCCCAGGAAUAAGUCUCGGCUAACUACGUGCCAGCCGCCGCCGUAAAAC